rnacentral:rRNA from 1 species
GACGAACGCUGGCGGCGUGCUUAACACAUGCAAGUCGAACGGAAAGGCCCUUCGGGGUACUCGAGUGGCGAACGGGUGAGUAACACGUGGGUGAUCUGCCCUGCACUUUGGGAUAAGCCUGGGAAACUGGGUCUAAUACCGAAUAGGACCACGCGCUUCAUGGUGUGUGGUGGAAAGCUUUUGCGGUGUGGGAUGGGCCCGCGGCCUAUCAGCUUGUUGGUGGGGUAAUGGCCUACCAAGGCGACGACGGGUAGCCGGCCUGAGAGGGUGACCGGCCACACUGGGACUGAGAUACGGUCCAGACUCCUACGGGAGGCAGCAGUGGGGAAUAUUGCACAAUGGGCGCAAGCCUGAUGCAGCGACGCCGCGUGAGGGAUGACGGCCUUCGGGUUGUAAACCUCUUUCAAUAGGGACGAAGCGCAAGUGACGGUACCUAUAGAAGAAGCACCGGCCAACUACGUG